GUGAUGGCGGUGGAGACGCUGCGUCUGAGGAAGGAUGGCUUCGCAGCCGGGGAGAAGGAGCAGGCGGCGGCUGCGGCGGCGGUUGGGGUCACGGGAGGGCCGGGGAAGGAGGCGCACUUCCGCGGGGUGAGGAAGCGGCCGUGGGGGAGGUUUGCGGCGGAGAUCAGGGACCCGUGGAAGAAGACGAGGAAAUGGCUGGGGACGUUUGACACGGCGGAGGAAGCGGCCCGAGCCUACGACGAGGCCGCCCGCAACCUCCGCGGCCCUAAGGCCAAGACGAACUUCGGGUACUCCGGCGACUCCGGCGAGAUCCCGUCUUCCGUCGCGGUCACCAUCGCCGCCGCCGCGCCGGCGGGGGUCUGGGGCCUGCAGGAGUGGCGAUCGGCCUAUCCGGGGCCGCCGGACGGCCGGGAUCUGUUCCUCGGGCCUCCGGCGGCGAGCGGAUCGGACUUCCCCGCGUACCGGUUCGAGGCGGUGGAGUUGAUGGUGCGGAGCAA
rnacentral:lncRNA from 1 species